rnacentral:tRNA from 1 species
GGCAACAUGGCCGAGCGGUCUAAGGCGCUACGUUCAGGUGAUUCUAUCCAGAAUAUCUCAUUCGUAGUCUCGAAAGGGGCGUGAGUUCGAAUCUCACUGUUGUCA